UGACGUCAAAUCAUCAUGCCCCUUAUGACCUGGGCUACACACGUGCUACAAUGGAUGGUACAACGAGUUGCGAACUCGCGAGAGCAAGCUAAUCUCUUAAAGCCAUUCUCAGUUCGGAUUGUAGGCUGCAACUCGCCUACAUGAAGUCGGAAUCGCUAGUAAUCGCGGAUCAGCAUGC
rnacentral:rRNA from 1 species